UGAAGAAGAAGAAGGCUAUGC
rnacentral:siRNA from 1 species